rnacentral:rRNA from 1 species
GGUGAACGCUGACGGUAGGCCUAACACAUGCAAGUCAAACUGCAUCACAGUAAGUACUUUCUCUUACGGGUGGCGAGUGGCGGACGGGUUAGGAAUACAUCGGCAUCUACUUUUUCGUGGGGUUUAACGUCGGGUGACUUUCGCUAAUACUGCAUACGACCUGCGUCUUAAAGCAGUGAAUCUUCUAACCUUUCUCGGUUAAAUUUGCCUAUGUCGGAUUAGCUAGUUGGCGGGGUAAAGGCCCACCAAGGCGACGAUCCGGAGCAGGAAUGAGAGGAUGGUCAGCCACACUGGAAGGGAGACACGGUACAAAGUCAUACGGGAGGCAGCAGUGGGGAAUAGUGGAGAAGGGGCGCAAGAGUGAGCAAGACAGACCGCGAGGGUGAAGAAGGAAUUCGGGUUGUAAAGCGCAUUUGUUGGGAAAGAAAAGCAGCAGGAUAAGACCCGGAUGUUCUGACGGUACCAAAAGAAUAAGCAACGGCUAACUUCGUG